rnacentral:lncRNA from 1 species
GGCCGUAUCGGGGAUGCUGGAACCUGCGGUUGAGUGAGAAACCGGCGCCACCGCCUGCGUCUUGGUCUCGGGCUGGUGGCCAGCGGGGUCUGGGCGUGGUUUUACCCAGCUCCUUUGCGAAGCUGCUGUCCUUUCCUCAACGUUACCACCCGGCUGGGCAGCCUACCCUCGGUCAGUACGUCCUGGCAAGAGCGCUUCGGGCGUGGCGUUCGUGUCGCGGGGGCCUCGGCUCAGAAGCGAGGGAAGAGCAGCCCUCAGAGGAGCGGCGACCGCGCUUACCGGGAGCCCGGGUUGGGAGAGGGCUCCCCAGGAGGGGUGUGAGCUCCGAACGAGAAAGAACGCCACCGCCUCGUGGGGUCUCUUCCUAAUGUGCAGAUUCCAAAUCUCUACAAUGCUGCAAAAGAGCAGCAACAGGUGUGCACCUUCCAAGCUUGCAACAGACCACAUUCAGAAGCUUGAUUUCUUGUUGUUCUGGGAAUAUCUGGAUCAGAGACCUUGCUGUCACCACUACUCCGGGACCUGGAAGUUAAAGCGAGGGAGAGACGGUGAAACACAGAAAGCAGAACGCCUUCUGUUCUUCCACAACACAGGGUUUGUGGACGUGGCCACUAUAAGAACUCGCACUGCGUGCUGAUUAUACUCCUCAGCACAAUUCAUUUCUUAAACUUUUUAGAAUAAUUUAAAAUUUACAAAAAGUUGCAAAAAUAAAAACCAGUAAACUUUU